rnacentral:rRNA from 1 species
GGUGAAAAGCCCGCUCGCCGGAAGACCAAGGGUUCCUGUCCAACGUUAAUCGGGGCAGGGUGAGUCGACCCCUAAGGCGAGGCCGAAAGGCGUAGUCGAUGGGAAACAGGUUAAUAUUCCUGUACUUGGUGUUACUGCGAAGGGGGGACGGAGAAGGCUAUGUUGGCCGGGCGACGGUUGUCCCGGUUUAAGCGUGUAGGCUGGUUUUCCAGGCAAAUCCGGAAAAUCAAGGCUGAGGCGUGAUGACGAGGCACUACGGUGCUGAAGCAACAAAUGCCCUGCUUCCAGGAAAAGCCUCUAAGCAUCAGGUAACAUCAAAUCGUACCCCAAACCGACACAGGUGGUCAGGUAGAGAAUACCAAGGCGCUUGAGAGAACUCGGGUGAAGGAACUAGGCAAAAUGGUGCCGUAACUUCGGGAGAAGGCACGCUGAUACGUAGGUGAAGUCCCUUGCGCAUGGAGCUGAAAUCAGUCGAAGAUACCAGCUGGCUGCAACUGUUUAUUAAAAACACAGCACUGUGCAAACACGAAAGUGGACGUAUACGGUGUGACGCCUGCCCGGUGCCGGAAGGUUAAUUGAUGGGGUUAGCGGUAACGCGAAGCUCUUGAUCGAAGCCCCGGUAAACGGCGGCCGUAACUAUAACGGUCCUAAGGUAGCGAAAUUCCUUGUCGGGUAAGUUCCGACCUGCACGAAUGGCGUAAUGAUGGCCAGGCUGUCUCCACCCGAGACUCAGUGAAAUUGAACUCGCUGUGAAGAUGCAGUGUACCCGCGGCAAGACGGAAAGACCCCGUGAACCUUUACUAUAGCUUGACACUGAACAUUGAGCCUUGAUGUGUAGGAUAGGUGGGAGGCUUUGAAGUGUGGACGCCAGUCUGCAUGGAGCCGACCUUGAAAUACCACCCUUUAAUGUUUGAUGUUCUAACGUUGGCCCCUAAUCGGGGUUGCGGACAGUGUCUGGUGGGUAGUUUGACUGGGGCGGUCUCCUCCUAAAGAGUAACGGAGGAGCACGAAGGUUGGCUAAUCCUGGUCGGACAUCAGGAGGUUAGUGCAAUGGCAUAAGCCAGCUUGACUGCGAGCGUGACGGCGCGAGCAGGUGCGAAAGCAGGUCAUAGUGAUCCGGUGGUUCUGAAUGGAAGGGCCAUCGCUCAACGGAUAAAAGGUACUCCGGGGAUAACAGGCUGAUACCGCCCAAGAGUUCAUAUCGACGGCGGUGUUUGGCACCUCGAUGUCGGCUCAUCACAUCCUGGGGCUGAAGUAGGUCCCAAGGGUAUGGCUGUUCGCCAUUUAAAGUGGUACGCGAGCUGGGUUUAGAACGUCGUGAGACAGUUCGGUCCCUAUCUGCCGUGGGCGCUGGAGAACUGAGGGGGGCUGCUCCUAGUACGAGAGGACCGGAGUGGACGCAUCACUGGUGUUCGGGUUGUCAUGCCAAUGGCACUGCCCGGUAGCUAAAUGCGGAAGAGAUAAGUGCUGAAAGCAUCUAAGCACGAAACUUGCCCCGAGAUGAGUUCUCCCUGACUCCCUGAGAGUCCUGAAGGAACGUUGAAGACGACGACGUUGAUAGGCCGGGUGUGUAAGCGCAGCGAUGCGUUGAGCUAACCGGUACUAAUGAACCGUGAGGCUUAACCUU